rnacentral:rRNA from 1 species
UACGUAGGGCGCAAGCGUUGUCCGGAAUUAUUGGGCGUAAAGAGCUCGUAGGCGGCUUGUCACGUCGAUUGUGAAAGCCCGAGGCUUAACCUCGGGUCUGCAUCCGAUACUCCCGAGCUGGAGGCAGGCAGGGGAGAUCGGAAUUCCUGGUGUAGCGGUGAAAAUGCGCAGAUAUCAGGAGGAACACCGGUGGCGAAGGCGGAUCUCUGGGCAUUAACUGACGCUGAGGAGCGAAAGCAUGGGGAGCGAACAGG